GACGAACGCUGGCGGCGUGCUUAACACAUGCAAGUCGAACGAUGAAGGAGGAGCUUGCUUCUCCGGAUUAGUGGCGAACGGGUGAGUAAUACGUGAGCAAUGUGCCCUUGGCUCUGGGAUAAGCGCUGGAAACGGCGUCUAAUACCGGAUACGACCUUCGGAGGCGAUCUCCUGACGGUGGAAAGGAACUUCGGUCAAGG
rnacentral:rRNA from 1 species